CCUCAGUCCCUGUUUCCUGCUGUAUUAUAGAGCCCUGGAGUCUGAUGUUGUCUGAAACGUCCAGGACACAGAUGGAGCUCAUGAAUGAUUGAUCGCAGGUGAUGUUUGCAGCCAGCCAGUCACAACUCCAAGGUAAAAGGUAAUGUGUGAAUAAUGAAUUCAUGUCCAUGAUUUUCAAGAACUUUGAGUGCAUACAUUAGGAAAUGCACUUUUUAUUUAACAAAUUCAUGCUGAAAUUCUGAGGGUUGUUCUUUAGCUUGCCACUCUUCUGCAUUUUUGAUUGAUUAAGAAUACUCUAGCAUCGUUAAAUGCAUCAUAUCAAACACAACACAGAACCAAACACCUACACACUCACUUAAACACACACUGAGAUAAAGAAAGGACAUAUUAGAGCAGUGUAUUGUAUAUUUAUGAGGUCGUGUAAUGCAUUACAUCUAAUAUUAAAGAGAUUCCCCUUCCUCUCUGGCAUGAAAUGACACAAAGAAAGAGCACUGUUUUCAAGAAAGGGAAUCUGAUAAAAAUAAGACUAAAAUUCUUAAGAGGAAGUUCUGUAUGAAUUAAGACACAAUUGGAGGUUUACUCUGUGGUAACAUUGCGUGAGUUUGUCAAGACCAGAGGUCUCUGUGGAUGCUCAUUGUGAUUAAAAAAAUCAAAGCCAGUGUAUUUGAUAAGCCAAUCGUAUGUUGGGACAUUAAUAUUUCAUAAAAUGAAAAAAAUAGCAGGCAAAACUUCAACUGUUUCACAUCCUCCAUUCACGUCUCUAUCUUUCAUCAGAAACUCCAACAGUGACCUCUAGUGUGGCUGCUUCCCUGAAGACCUGUGUGUGAGAGAGAGAGAUGUACGAGCCUGCAUCACAGUGAG